CUCUUUCUCACUCAUAUAUUCUCUCUCUCUCUCUCUCUCUCUGACACACACACACAUACACGCUCCUGGAUUUGCAGAAGACAGACAUCUAGGGCACUUCUUGGCAUCCACAGGAAGAUCAUAUGGGAUUAAAAACCCCCAGCAGAUUUGCCGAAAGCUGCCUCUCGAGGGUUACAAGUUCACCUUUUGCAUUUCCAGCUGCUUGUUUACUAUCCAUGUGGCAACCUCUGGACAGCCAGUGAUCCAUUCAUUAUCCCCACUGAUUGAGCGCAGGAGCAGCGCAGCGCUAACUACUUCACUCAGCUGACGGCAGGCAACAGAAGGAGGAAAAUGAUGAAUUCGGACAAUUUAACCUCCCAAAGCUUCCUCUCUGCAAUUCACAGAAACACCAGCAAUUUAUUCUCAGGGCUCCAGUUUGUUCAGUCCUUCAAGCCACUCAUCAUCCCCUGCUACUCGCUGGUGGUUUUUAUUGGUGUCAUCGGGAAUUACCUUCUCAUCUAUGUCAUCUGCAAGACAAAAAAAAUGCACAACGUCACCAACUUUCUGGUAGGCAAUCUGGCUUUCUCAGACAUGCUCAUGUGUGCCACCUGUGUGCCCCUGACCCUGGCCUAUGCCUUUGAGCCCCGGGGAUGGGUUUACGGGCGCUUCAUGUGCUACUUUGUUUUCCUGAUGCAACCUGUCACGGUGUUUGUGUCUGUCUUCACCCUGACUGUCAUAGCUGUGGACAGGUACUGUGCCACAGUGUACCCGUUCCGCAGGAGGCUCACCAUCCCCAUCUGUGCUUACAUCCUGGCUGCUAUUUGGCUGCUGAGCUGCACUUUGGCUGCCCCAGCCUUGGUGCACACCUACCACGCAGAGUUCCCAGAGCUGGACUUCUCCAUUUGCGAGGAGUUUUGGUUCCACAUGAAAAGAGAUCGCUUGGCUUAUGCCUACAGCACCCUCAUCAUCACCUAUGUAUUGCCUUUGGCUGUCAUCUCCCUGUCCUACCUGAGGAUCUCAGUCAAGCUGAAGAACCGUGUAGUCCCAGGCAACGUCACCCAGGGCCAAGCUGAGUGGGACCGUGCCAGGAGGAGAAAGACUUUUCGCUUGCUGGUCUUAGUGGUGGCAGCCUUUGGAGUCUGUUGGCUGCCCCUGCACAUCUUCAAUAUGAUAAAGGACAUCGACAUCAGCUUGAUUGACAAGCAGUACUUCAACUUCAUCCAGCUGCUGUGCCACUGGUUUGCAAUGAUGUCUGCUUGUACCAAUGCCUUCCUCUAUGCCUGGCUCCACGACAGCUUCAGGGGAGAGCUGAAAAAAAUGUUUGCCUGGAGGAAGAAGAAAAUUGGACCCGCUACAAACUGCAUUAUGGCCAGUGUGGUGCUGUAAAUGAGAGCUGGUGGGAGUGCACCUCCUUUGUACAUGAACAUUCAACAAGAUGCUUCACUGAAAGUCCAGAGAGGAGCUGCAGAUGCAUCUGAGGGAAUAUCCAGAAGGAGAUGAUGCCAAAAAUCUCUACACCUACAUUUCCUACAAUUCCUACAUUUCCAUGAGGCACUGGAGCCAAGCAGCAUCAAGAGGACUGCAAAGAGAAGCGUGCAGCUUUCAGCGUGGAGAUGGGCUCUGCCUGUCCUGCUGAGCACAGCUCUGGGUCUCCAAAAAACAUGCUGGAAAGGCAGCUGGUGGCUCACAGCAGUAGGAGUGGUUUGAAUGUUGUGCUUUGGGAGAAGCUGGUGCUGGGUGUGGGCUGGGCAGCACCACCAGAAGGUGACUGCUCAGCCCAGGGCAGCUCUGCUCUGGGGAGGCUGAUCAGCUCGAGGUGUUGUCUCACUUUCCAGAGCUUCCCAGCCACAGGGAGAUGUGUUUGUUUACUCCAGCACACCCACAAGAGAGGUGAAAAUGUGAGAGCAAACGACAUGGGAGCCAUGGUGCACUGUCCCAGGCUGCCACCACCCACAGCUCCACUUUGUGACCUGCUGUGCUUGGGAGUGGGAAGGAGAAGCAACAGCUUGUGCUGUGAACCAACCCCAUCGUGGGCUCCUGGAGGCAGGGCAAGAAAGAAAGCAAAAAACCAAAUUUCUGAUCUUCAAGCUAACAAUAACCAGCCAAAGGGUGAAUCUGUAAUCACCCAGAGGCUGUUCCUGUACCAAUGUAGGAGCCACUCAAGCCUUCUGAGAGUGGGGUCCCUGACCUGUGGCAUGUCAGCUCGGUGUAUUUGCUUUCUGGUAUCUUUCUUCCCUCCCCUCACCCCCUCAGUGCAACAGGGGCAAGCCAGGCAAAAGCAGGAACAUUAGGGUGAGGCCCACAUCCCAUUUCUGUACAGUCCAGAGGCACAGGAGUUGAAGGCAGAUGCACUUGUGACAGCGUUUUGUUCUUUUUAAUAAAAGGAAUUGAAAGGUUAGGGAUGGAGUUACAAGGCAAAUGUUCAACUAACCCAUUCCUCAGCAACUGGAGGAAACUCUGGAAGAAGUAAGAUGACAAAAAACAUCAUGUGCAAGAGCUAGCUAUGAGCUAAAUAACCAAUAUAUAAUACAUACAAAGUGUUUCAAAUAAUUACAUGACAAAAUUAUCACUCAGCUUUGGAAUGAUUUCCCCUCGAUUACUGGAUCAUUUUAAAAUUCAACAUCUGUUGUUAAUAUGCACAGAUUAAAAAAAUAAAAAUAAAUUUGAAACCAUCUGAAGCACUUGACAGCAUAUGGCAGACCUGUUUAAUCUUAACAAGUCAAUAAUAUUAUCAUUGUGAAUCAUUCCUUCAUUAAAACAUGUAUUAAUGUCUGCUGCAUAAAA